rnacentral:rRNA from 1 species
GAUGAACGCUGGCGGCGUGCCUAUUACAUGCAAGUCGAGCGAACAGAUAAGGAGCUUGCUCCUUUGACGUUAGCGGCGGACGGGUGAGUAACACGUGGGUAACCUACCUAUAAGACUGGAAUAACUCCGGGAAACCGGGGCUAAUGCCGGAUAACAUUUAGAACCGCAUGGUUCUAAAGUGAAAGAUGGUUUUGCUAUCACUUAUAGAUGGACCCGCGCCGUAUUAGCUAGUUGGUAAGGUAACGGCUUACCAAGGCAACGAUACGUAGCCGACCUGAGAGGGUGAUCGGCCACACUGGAACUGAGACACGGUCCAGACUCCUACGGGAGGCAGCAGUAGGGAAUCUUCCGCAAUGGGCGAAAGCCUGACGGAGCAACGCCGCGUGAGUGAUGAAGGUCUUCGGAUCGUAAAACUCUGUUAUUAGGGAAGAACAAAUGUGUAAGUAACUGUGCACGUCUUGACGGUACCUAAUCAGAAAGCCACGGCUAACUACGUG